rnacentral:misc_RNA from 1 species
GAUGAAGAACGUAGCGAAAUGCGAUAAGUAAUGUGAAUUGCAGAAUUCAGUGAAUCAUCGAAUCUUUGAACGCACAUUGCGCCCAUUAGUAUUCUAGUGGCAUGCCUGUUCGAGCGUCAUUAAUUCCACUUAAGCCCUGCUUAGUGUUGGGAAUCUACUCUAGUGGUGCUACCCUGGAGCUACCCCUGAAAGGGGGCUGGCCCGGUAGCUACCCUGUAGUUCCUCAAAGAUAGUGCGCGGAGUUGCGUGGUCCUCUGAGCUUAGUAACUAUACACCUAGCUUUUGAGUGUCCCGCGGCGCCUGCCGUUUAAACCCCAUCUUUUAAUGGUUGACCUCGGAUCAGGUAGGAAUACCCGCUGAACUUAAGCAUAUCAAUAAGCGGAGGA